GAUGAAGAACGCAGCGAAAUGCGAUACGUAGUGUGAAUUGCAGAAUUCAGUGAAUCAUCGAAUCUUAGAACGCACAUUGCACCUCUCGGUAUUCCGGGAGGUAUGCCUGUUCGAGCGUCAUUUGUACCCUCAAGCUCUGCUUGGUGUUGGGUGUUUGUUCCGCCUCUGUGUGUGAACUCGCCUCAAAACAAUUGGCAGCCGGCGUACUUGUUUCGGAGCGCAGCACAUUUUGCGAUCCAGAUCAACGUACAGCGGCAUCCAAGAAGCCUUAUUUAACGCUCUUGACCUCGGAUCAGGUAGGGAUACCCGCUGAACUUAAGCAUAUCAAUAAGCGGAGGA
rnacentral:misc_RNA from 1 species